GCUGGGUGCAGUGGUGCAUCCCUGUAAUCCCAGCGGCUCAGGAGGCUGAGGCAGGAGGAUCACAAGUUCAAAGCCGAGCGGGGUGCUAAGCAACUCCGUGAGACCCUGUCUCUA
rnacentral:sRNA from 1 species